AGAGCGGGCCCAGGUCUUAGUAAACCAGUUUUGGGAAACUUAUGAAGAGCUCAGCCCCUGGAUUGAGGAAACUCGGGCACUAAUAGCACAGUUACCCCCUCCAGCCAUUGAUCAUGAGCAGCUCAGGCAGCAACAAGAGGAAAUGAGGCAAUUAAGGGAAUCUAUUGCUGAACACAAACCUCAUAUUGACAAACUGCUAAAGAUAGGCCCACAACUAAAGGAAUUAAACCCUGAGGAAGGGGAAAUGGUGGAAGAAAAAUACCAGAAAGCAGAAAACAUGUAUGCCCAAAUAAAGGAGGAGGUGCGCCAGCGAGCCCUGGCUCUGGAUGAGGCCGUGUCCCAGUCCACACAGGUAUGUGUGUGUCUGACACUCAUAGCCUUGAAUUGUCUGCUGUUCUAAACAAGACGUCUCUGUAUCAGGUAUGUCUCUGUGCUCAGGAAUGUCCAGACCAGCAUGUUAAUACGUGAUCAGUAGAUAGAACAGAAAGCUUAGCCUAUCUCCAUUUUUAUUCCAAGGAACAUUGGCAUACUGACAUUCUAAGGAGAGUGAAAUGAGUCUUGGCUGGUAUAUAUUGUCUGUUGAUGGUUUCUCUGAAAA
rnacentral:sRNA from 1 species